GCAGGCGUAGUUCAACUGGAUAGAAUAUCGGAUUUCGGCUCCGAGGGUUGAGGGUUCGAAUCCUUCCGCCUGUACAA
rnacentral:tRNA from 1 species